GACGAACGCUGGCGGCGUGCUUAACACAUGCAAGUCGAACGGAAAGGCCCUGCUUUUGUGGGGUGCUCGAGUGGCGAACGGGUGAGUAACACGUGAGUAACCUGCCCUUGACUUUGGGAUAACUUCAGGAAACUGGGGCUAAUACCGGAUAGGAGCUCCUGCUGCAUGGUGGGGGUUGGAAAGUUUCGGCGGUUGGGGAUGGACUCGCGGCUUAUCAGCUUGUUGGUGGGGUAGUGGCUUACCAAGGCUUCGACGGGUAGCCGGCCUGAGAGGGUGACCGGCCACAUUGGGACUGAGAUACGGCCCAGACUCCUACGGGAGGCAGCAGUGGGGAAUAUUGCACGAUGGGCGGAAGCCUGAAGCAGCAGCGCCGCGUGAGGGAUGACGGCCUUCGGGUUGUAAACCGCUUUCGCCUGUGACGAAGCGUGAGUGACGGUAAUGGGUAAAGAAGCACCGGCUAACUACGUG
rnacentral:rRNA from 1 species